rnacentral:rRNA from 1 species
GUUUGAUCAUGGCUCAGAUUGAACGCUGGCGGCAUGCCUUACACAUGCAAGUCGAACGGCAGCACGGGAGCAAUCCUGGUGGCGAGUGGCGAACGGGUGAGUAAUAUAUCGGAACGUGCCCAGUCGUGGGGGAUAACGUAGCGAAAGCUACGCUAAUACCGCAUACGAUCUAUGGAUGAAAGCGGGGGAUCGCAAGACCUCGCGCGAUUGGAGCGGCCGAUAUCAGAUUAGGUAGUUGGUGAGGUAAAGGCUCACCAAGCCGACGAUCUGUAGCUGGUCUGAGAGGACGACCAGCCACACUGGGACUGAGACACGGGCCCGACUCCUACGGGAGGCAGCAGUAAGGAAUAUUGGUCAAUGGACGCAAGUCUGAACCAGCCAUGCCGCGUGAAGGAUGAAGGCCCUCUGGGUUGUAAACUUCUUUUAUCUGGGAAGAAAACCCCUGUUUCUACAGGGUUUGACGGUACCAGAGGAAUAAGCACCGGCUAACUCCGUGCCAGCAGCCGCGGUAAUACGGAGGGUGCAAGCGUUAUCCGGAUUUACUGGGUUUAAAGGGUGCGUAGGCGGACAAAUAAGUCAGUGGUGAAAGCUCCGAGCUUAACUCGGAAACUGCCAUUGAUACUGUUUGUCUUGAAUAUAGUGGAGGUUGGCGGAAUGUGUCAUGUAGCGGUGAAAUGCUUAGAUAUGACACAGAACACCGAUUGCGAAGGCAGCUGGCUACACUAUUAUUGACGCUGAGGCACGAAAGCGUGGGGAUCAAACAGGAUUAGAUACCCUGGUAGUCCACGCCCUAAACUAUGGAUACUCGACAUUAGCAAUAUACCGUUAGUGUCUAAGCGAAAGCAUUAAGUAUCCCACCUGGGAAGUACGACCGCAAGGUUGAAACUCAAAGGAAUUGACGGGGUCCGCACAAGUGGUGGAG